rnacentral:rRNA from 1 species
CCCGCUCAGAAACUCAAAGGAAUUGACGGGGGCCCGCACAAGCGGUGGAGCAUGUGGUUUAAUUCGAUGAUACGCGAGGAACCUUACCUGGGCUCAAAUGUAUGUUGACGUAUUCUGAAAGGGAUACUUCUUCGGACAAUAUACAAGGUGCUGCAUGGUUGUCGUCAGCUCGUGCCGUGAGGUGUCGGGUUAAGUCCCAUAACGAGCGCAACCCCUAUCAUUAGUUGCCAUCAGGUCAAGCUGGGGACUCUAAUGAAACUGCCUACGCAAGUAGUGAGGAAGGUGGGGAUGACGUCAAAUCAGCACGGCCCUUACGUCCAGGGCUACACACGUGCUACAAUGGCCGGUACAAAGGGCAGCUACCUGGUGACAGGAUGCUAAUCUCAAAAGCCGGUCUCAGUUCGGAUCGGAGUCUGCAACCCGACUCCAUGAAGUUGGAAUCGCUAGUAAUCGCGCAUCAGCAUGGCGCGGUGAAUACGUUCCCGGGCCUU